GACGAACGCUGGCGGCGUGCUUAACACAUGUAAGUCGAACGGAAAGGCCCUGCUUUUGUGGGGUGCUCGAGUGGCGAACGGGUGAGUAACACGUGAGUAACCUGCCCUUGACUUUGGGAUAACUUCAGGAAACUGGGGCUAAUACCGGAUAGGAGCUCCUGCUGCAUGGUGGGGGUUGGAAAGUUUCGGCGGUUGGGGAUGGACUCGCGGCUUAUCAGCUUGUUGGUGGGGUAGUGGCUUACCAAGGCUUUGACGGGUAGCCGGCCUGAGAGGGUGACCGGCCACAUUGGGACUGAGAUACGGCCCAGACGCCUACGGGAGGCAGCAGUGGGGAAUAUUGCACAAUGGGCGGAAGCCUGAUGCAGCAACGCCGCGUGCGGGAUGACGGCCUUCGGGUUGUAAACCGCUUUCGCCUGUGACGAAGCGUGAGUGACGGUAAUGGGUAAAGAAGCACCGGCUAACUACGUG
rnacentral:rRNA from 1 species